ensembl:snRNA U6 U6 spliceosomal RNA
UCACUCCCUUUGGCAGCACCUAUACUAAAAUCAGAAUGAUACAGAGAAGAUUAGCAUGGCAGUCCCUGCACAAGGAUGACACACAAAUUUGUGAAACAUUCCAUAUUUUU